ACCCAGUAACAGAACCUGUGAGCAAGAGCUAGGUGAAGGACCAGUCAGUCCUCUAGCUCUAGGGAAGCUCUGUCCACUUCUGUAAGGAAGUGAGGCCACGUGUGGGGUACCGCAACCAAUUCAACAUUGCCUUCUCCAGCUUCUGGAGACAGGGCGCGGAGGGUGCACUCCACGUUCAGGUGGCAGUGUUGAAGCCAAAAGCUUCUAAAGAUGUGGUUUCGGGAAAUUAAGAGUUGAAUGUAUAUGAGUAAGCAAACACAAGAAUCCAAAAAACCACAGCCUGUGACAGAUCAAGCCUAGUACCUUUCCAGCACUUAAGAAGAGUUCAUGUCCAAUCUAUUCACUAUUCAUCUUGAUUCCAUCAUGAAGGAAUGAAAUGCAGAUAACUCGUUAGCAAACUUUUGUGGGAAAAAAGUGCCUUGUGGGAUCAGAACAAAGCCGUUUUAUAAUCAGAUUUACCAAGCUGAGAAGAGGGAAUUUCAGCAAAUGGAAGCUUCAGCUUUCUGUCACCAGGAAACACUGCAUUAUCCAGAAUCGGAAUUGUUAAAGCAUACUGACUUUACAACUGGAGACAAAAAUGGAACCUAAGAAAAUAAAAUCAGCUGGGAAGGGUGUGAAUUCAUAUAUCUUUUCUCUUAAAGUUGUUUUGAAAAGUAAGUACUUGCCAUUCCUUAUUGUUUUUGUUUUGUUUUGUCUUUGUAAUCUGAUACUGAAAGCAUUGAUUUGUGCAUAAAGUAUAUAUAGUUACUGUCAUCUGGGAGUUUGCAUUUUAAGUGACAUGGCAUGGGUAAGAACAGACAUAAAACAUAUACACACCAUUAUAUAGACAACUAGACUAGAUCUGGCCUGACAACAAAUGGGGCUUGAUAUUCAUAGAUCUUACCUGAGUGGAUGUUAUUUCAUGAUA